rnacentral:rRNA from 1 species
AUGUGCAAGGUCAUCAACACGGUCCAGUCUCUCGCCUCGCUGCGCCGCGCCGUGCGACGGUGGUGCGACCGAGCGGCGGCCUCGGUGCGGCCCGUAAAGGACAUGCUGGACGCCGCCGUGCCGGCGGGGCACGUGGCCGUGCGCGUUCGGGGCCGCGACGACGGGGAGUCGUCGUCGAGGCGGCUCGUGGUGCCGGUGGCGCAGCUGAGCCACCCGGCGUUCCGGGAGCUGCUGCGCCAGGCGGAGGAGGAGUACGGCUUCCCGUCGGCCUCCGGGCCCCUCGCGCUCCCCUGCGACGAGGACCACCUCCGGGACGUCCUCCGCCGCGUCUCGUCGUCUGACUCCGAGGAGCGCCGCUCAUUCCCUCGACGCCGCGGCGUCAUGGCGGCGCCGCACGAUGACUCGCGGCCGCUGCUGCAGGGGGUGGCCGCCGAGAAGCUCGUCUCGUGA